UUUGAUUUGAAGCAAAACAGUUUUUGUAAAUCGGUUAAAAAGUACAACAAUGUGUACUUACCAUCAUUGAUUUCAUGGAAUGAAUCACCAACCUCUGAGCUCACGGCAAAGAUGACUGGCAUAAAGUGCAUUGCUGAUCUACAGAUGAACAACUGACAUGCCAGGGGAAGGAGUGCUGUGCAUGUUGUGCUGUGGAUUUGACAUGCAGUUAGUCUCAGUGCUUGGGUGUGGUGCGAAAACAGGCAGUUCAUGAUUGUGUGAUCUCAGCCUGUGGAUGUUGGUUAGAGAAGCAGUGGCUGAUCGUUACGGCACUAAGUGUAAACAGCAGCAGGCCCUCAGGGAGCGACCAUACUUCCCCUCCGCACAGAAGAUCAAUAGUCCAGCCAUGGAGAACAGCUGUUCCACUCACGAACACAUGCAAAUGCAAAUAUAAACAUAGAGAACACACAGCAAACAACUGGUACUAGAAUUUCCUUAAACCUUAGCAUCUCAAAAGUUGCACUUAAUCUGGGCCUGGGUAGCUCAGCAAGUAUUGACACUGACUACCACCCCUGGAGUCGCGAGUUUGAAUCCAGGGCGUGCUGAGUGACUCCAGCCAGGACUCCAACGCAACCAAAUUUGCCCGGUUGCUAGGGAGGGUAAAGUCACAUGGGUUAACCUCCUCGUGGUCACAAUUAGUGGUUCUCGCUUUCAAUGGGGAAGUGUGAUAAGUUUGCGAGGAUCGUGGAGAGUAGCAUGAGCCUCCACAUGCUGGUUGUCUCCGUGGUGUCAUGCACAACGAGUCACGUGAUAAGAUGCGCAACUGUCUAAGAAGCGGAGGAAACUGAGACUUGUCCUCCAUCAACCGGAUUGAGGAGAGUAACUGUGCCACCACGAAGACCUACUAAGUAGUGGGAAUUGGGCAUUCCAAAUUGUGGAGAAAAGGGGAUAAAACAUUAAAUAAAAAAACUUGUACUGUAUCUAUUUCAAGUGAUGCUCACUCUAGUACAACUAAAAG